GAUCAGCAGAGAUGGCAGAAGCUUCUGUGGCUGUUGAGUUACAGGUGUGUCUACAGGGAGGAGAUUCAUACGUACAUUGGUGGUUAUUGCCAACAAGACCAGUUUGCAUAGCAGGGUUCCUCCGAAGAGGAAGAUGCAAGACACAACAGAGAAGAUAUCCCUGGAACCAUCCAAACAGAUGAGGCAAGUGCUGAAGAAAAUGCUGCAGGGAGGACAAGAAAUCAAAGGAGAGCCUGCGGAGAAAGAAGCAUUUCCUGGAGGAAGCAGUGGUUCCGUGCCAGCAUCUGUUGAAGGAGGGGAGGCGAUGCCAGGCACAGGCC